rnacentral:rRNA from 1 species
UACGUAGGGUGCGAGCGUUAAUCGGAAUUACUGGGCGUAAAGCGUGCGCAGGCGGUUUUGUAAGUCUGACGUGAAAUCCCCGGGCUUAACCUGGGAAUUGCGUUGGAGACUGCAAGGCUGGAGUCUGGCAGAGGGGGGGUAGAAUUCCACGUGUAGCAGUGAAAUGCGUAGAGAUGUGGAGGAACACCGAUGGCGAAGGCAGCCCCCCUGGGUCAAGACUGACGCUCAUGCACGAAAGCGUGGGGGAGCAAACAGG